rnacentral:tRNA from 1 species
GAGGGUAUAGCUCAGUGGUAAAACGCAUGCUCAGCAUGCAUGAAGUCUCGGGUUCAAUCCCCAGUACCUCCA